GUACUUAUCUUGCAAGAGGAACGCUAUGAUCAUAAAGGUAGUUUUCCCAGGGCAAAGCUCAUCCAUUGCAUCCCAAGAAAUGUGCUAACUCCUGUGAUUUCCCCAAAUGUGGGAAACUUGACUACAUAAUUUGUGGUAGUGGGAGACUGUGUUUGUGUUCUCCUU